GAUGAACGCUGGCGGCGUGCCUAAUACAUGCAAGUCGAGCGAACAGAUAAGGAGCUUGCUCCUUUGACGUUAGCGGCGGACGGGUGAGUAACACGUGGGUAACCUAUCUAUAAGACUGGAAUAACUCCGGGAAACCGGUGCUAAUGCCGGAUAACAUGUUGAACCGCAUGGUUCUACAGUGAAAGGCGGCUUUGCUGUCACUUAUAGAUGGACCCGCGCCGUAUUAGCUAGUUGGUGAGGUAACGGCUCACCAAGGCAACGAUACGUAGCCGACCUGAGAGGGUGAUCGGCCACACUGGAACUGAGACACGGUCCAGACUCCUACGGGAGGCAGCAGUAGGGAAUCUUCCGCAAUGGGCGAAAGCCUGACGGAGCAACGCCGCGUGAGUGAUGAAGGUCUUCGGAUCGUAAAACUCUGUUAUUAGGGAAGAACAAAUGCGUAAGUAACUGUGCGCGUCUUGACGGUACCUAAUCAGAAAGCCACGGCUAACUACGUG
rnacentral:rRNA from 1 species